UGGCGGACGGGUGAGUAACACGUGAGCAACCUGCCUUUCAGAGGGGGAUAACGGCUGGAAACGGUCGCUAAUACCGCAUGAUGUGUUCGGAUGGCAUCAUCUGAACAUCAAAGAUUUAUCGCUGAAAGAUGGGCUCGCGUCUGAUUAGAUAGUUGGUGGGGUAACGGCCUACCAAGUCGACGAUCAGUAGCCGGACUGAGAGGUUGAACGGCCACAUUGGGACUGAGAUACGGCCCAGACUCCUACGGGAGGCAGCAGUGGGGAAUAUUGCACAAUGGGGGAAACCCUGAUGCAGCAACGCCGCGUGAAGGAUGACGGUUUUCGGAUUGUAAACUUCUUUUCUUAGUGACGAAGACAGUGACGGUAGCUAAGGAAUAAGCAUCGGCUAACUACGUGCCAGCAGCCGCGGUAAUACGUAGGAUGCAAGCGUUAUCCGGAUUUACUGGGUGUAAAGGGAGCGCAGGCGGGACUGCAAGUUGGAUGUGAAAUACCGUGGCUUAACCACGGAACUGCAUCCAAAACUGUAGUUCUUGAGUGAAGUAGAGGCAAGCGGAAUUCCGAGUGUAGCGGUGAAAUGCGUAGAUAUUCGGAGGAACACCAGUGGCGAAGGCGGCUUGCUGGGCUUUAACUGACGCUGAGGCUCGAAAGUGUGGGGAGCAAACAGGAUUAGAUACCCUGGUAGUCCACACUGUAAA
rnacentral:rRNA from 1 species